rnacentral:lncRNA from 1 species
AAAUAAUUACAUCUUAGGGGUUACAAAAAAUACCUAUUUCAGAUCUUAGGGGUGCUUUGGAAUGUAGCCAGUUUCGUAUCAUGCAUUAUCUAGUAUUGUAUUUAAAAUUCUGAUGGGUACAAUCCUUGCAGUAAAAAAUUCUGAUAGGUCAAUUUUUCCCAUGAAAGCCCAUCCACCCAAUAUGAACAGAAACUCUACAUCUGAUAGGUCUUAAUUUAUAGAUCUGAUAGGUAGUUUUUCAUGAUGUUUUUUUCUGAUAGGUA